AGUUCCGGCGCCGCUCCCCGAGGGAGGACGGAACGCCCGCCCGGGAGAGAAAGUCCGGGAGCCGCUCACGGGGGCCUCGACCCCACCCCCUCCGGAGAGCGGGUCCCGGGAAGCCCUGAGCCUCCUUCUCUCCCAGGCGAGACCCUGGCGUUUCAACCCACACGCCCGGUGUGGAAGACGUAGGGGCGCAAUUGCAGCCUCUGCCCCUUCAUGCGCUCAUUCAACAAAAACUUUUUUUUUUUUGAGACCGAGUCUCGCUCUGUCGCCCAGGCUGGACCGCAGUGUCGCAAUCUUGGCUCACUGCAAGCUCCACCUCUCGGGUUCAAGCGAUUCUCCUGCCUCAGCCUCCCGAGUACGUGGGAUUACAGGCACCCACCAUCGUGCCCAGCUAUUUUUUGUAUUUUUACCAGAGACGGGGUUUCACCAUGUUGGCCAGGAUGGUCUCGAACUCCCGGCCUUAAGUGAUCCGCCCGCCUCGGCCACCCAAAGUGCUGGGAUUACAGACGUGAGCCACCGCUCCCGGCCCUGAACUGGAUUUCAAAGGAUGAAUAGCAGUUUGCCAAGCAGACAGGAGGUAGAGGGAACAGCAGGUGCCAGGCCCUGGAAGUGUAAGCGGUCACAGGAUGAUGCGAAAAAUACAGGAAAGUGACUUUGCCAAACCACCAAAUGUGAGGCCAGGGAGUGACGGGAGAUAAGGCUGGAGAUCACCAGGCGUCGUCCCAAAAGCUUGCUUUUCGCCCUGUAGGCAGCUGGGUACUGCAAAAGGUGGCUUCCCUCAUAGUGGCAAAAGGGCUGCAGGAGCUCUGGGACUCACGUGCAUCCUCCAUCAUGAACAAGAGGAGAAGGGAACCACCCAGGAAGGUCGCUCCUAAAACCCUGACUCACAGACACUGAACUAACACAUGUUUAUGGUUGUCUUAAAGCAGUCGGUUUUGAGGUCACCUGUUCUUCACAAGACGUAAUGAAUGCAGCAGUUCAGGCUUUCCUGCAGUCGACUGAGUUCUCUGGUAACUGUGAGCAGGACUGAUGCGUGCCACCUGCAGGCCCACCCAUACGAACUUCCCACCCGAACCUCUGCAGCCUCCAUGCCCGGUCCUCUUGGCCUCAGGUCCCCUAGGCCAGCCAUGGGGGCCACAAGCUGAAGACGGCAGAGGUACAAGAGGAAGAAGUCUGGGGCCCUCAAUCAUGGCUGGGGGAUUGCUGCCCAGGAAUACCACCUGACCAGAGACACCACAUGAAUGAUUCCAUGAGCAGGAAAUAAAUCUUCAUGUUUAAGCCACUGAGAUUUGGGGAUUUAUCCAUUACAGUACCUAAAGUCACCUUAAACUAAUACUCUUUCUUUUUUUUUUUUUUUUUUUUUUGAGUCGGCGUCUUGCUCUGUGGCCCAGGCUGGAGUGCAGUGUCGAGAUCCCGGUUCACUGCAACCUCCGCCUCCCGGGUUCAAGUGAUUCUCCUGCCUCAGCUUCCUGAGUAACUGGGAUUACAGUCAUACGCUACCACACCUGGCUCAUUUUUGUAUUUUUAGGAGGGACAGGGUUUCACCAUGUUGGUCAAGCUGGUCUCGAACUCCUGACCUCGUGAUCCUCCCACCUCGGCCUCCCAAAGUGCUGGGAUUAUAGGCAUGAGCCACUGCGCCCGGCCUAAUACUCUUUCAUACAGAAUUUUUUUUCCCCCAGGCUGGAUUGUAAUGGCGUGAUCUCGGUCACUGCAACCUCCACCUCCCCGGUUCAAGCGAU
rnacentral:lncRNA from 1 species